rnacentral:rRNA from 1 species
UACGUAGGGUGCAAGCGUUGUCCGGAUUUAUUGGGCGUAAAGAGCUCGUAGGCGGUCUGUCGCGUCGGAUGUGAAAACCCAGGGCUCAACCCUGGGACUGCAUUCGAUACGGGCAGACUAGAGUACGGCAGGGGAGACUGGAAUUCCUGGUGUAGCGGUGAAAUGCGCAGAUAUCAGGAGGAACACCGGUGGCGAAGGCGGGUCUCUGGGCCGAUACUGACGCUGAGGAGCGAAAGCGUGGGGAGCGAACAGG